AGCGAACGCUGGCGGCAGGCUUAACACAUGCAAGUCGAGCGGGCACUUUCGGGUGUCAGCGGCGGACGGGUGAGUAACGCGUGGGAACGUGCCCUCUGGUUCGGAAUAACUCAGGGAAACUUGAGCUAAUACCGGAUACGCCCUUUUGGGGAAAGGCUUGCUGCCGGAGGCUCGGCCCGCGUCUGAUUAGCUAGUUGGUGAGGUAACGGCUCACCAAGGCGACGAUCAGUAGCUGGUCUGAGAGGAUGAUCGGCCACACUGGGACUGAGACACGGCCCAGACUCCUACGGGAGGAAGCAGUGGGGAAUAUUGGACAAUGGGCGCAAGCCUGAUCCAGCCAUGCCGCGUGAGUGAUGAAGGCCUUAGGGUUGUAAAGCUCUUUUAUCCGGGACGAUAAUGACGGUACCGGAGGAAUAAGCCCCGGCUAACUUCGUG
rnacentral:rRNA from 1 species